rnacentral:lncRNA from 1 species
AUGAUGAAUAACUUUUUGAAAGCGGUAAUUGUCCAGGGUGCCUUCAUCGCAGCAGCACAAUGCCUAGCCUGUCAUCAGUGUCCCAUCGGCAUCUUCGGUACAUGCUUCCUAUCAAAUGACAUCACUUGUAAUAAUUCAACUCAGAGCUGCUACAAAGGAGACGCACAGUUCAACGCUACAGGGGCGCUGAAGCUGCACACGCGCGGCUGCCUGGACUCAGAUCUGUGCGGGGCAUCACUGAUCGGCUCCAUCCUCGGUGCGGCCUACAGCAGCACUUUCCAGUGUUGUACCACAGACAUAGCUGGACUGGCCAUUAGGCAUACCGGGCAUUUGCCCGGUGGGCCGAUUCUUCGUUUUUAUGGGCCGAUGGGUUUUGUUUUGUUUGUUUUGUUUUGUAACGGUAUAAACAAUGAAAGGUGGUGGAUUGGCCAGAUGCUGGCCAGUGUGUAAAAAUAACUCAGUUGUUUGGUGGUGGCUAUGGCGGAGCUUCCACAAAGGCCAGCGGGUGGAUGAGGGAAAGGAGAGGCAGUAGGAGGAGAGACCCGAGGCGGCUUCCCCGGUCCGAGUGUCAGGUGAACUGAACUUCAGGUAAGAAGUUAUGACCUGCAGUCUAUCUGGGUCAGAUAUAAACCAAGUUUAGUUGUAGCUAUUUUCGUUGUGCUAACUUUUUACAGUCAGUUACAAUAACUCGUACUGCGUACUAGCUAGCAUGACUGGGCGGGUGCUAUGUUACUGAUAGUGAACUUUAUUUUAUUCAUAAGGUUAGUUAGUAGAGUUGCCAACCGUCCUGUAAAAAACAGAAUCGUCUCGCAUUCAGAGAAAAUCUUACGCGUUUCGUAUUGAACUGAAAAGGAACACAGUUUGUCCCGGACUUCAGCUAGAAUGGAAAAGACACAAAGCUGGAGUUAUUCUGUCGUUACGCUGUCAGCUGCUUCUUCUUCGCUCAUUCUUUCCCCCUCCGUCUCCUGUUGCUACUUCAAUCAUGAAACUGAUCAAUGAUCAGCUGAUCGGCUUUUCUCUCUUGUUUGUUUAUCUCCCACUUUGCGCCAGAAAGAGGAACCCAGCAGAUGUCGUGAUAGAUAAAACAACAGCAGCGCAUUUAAGCUUGAUCAGCUGUUGUUAGAAUUUAUUUAAUAUUAAUUUGUAGUAUCAGCUGAUGUUAGCUUGAGCCACAGCUGUAAAAGCUGCUGGUCAUGAUAUCAGUUUGGAUAUGUGAGAGGGAAACAUGAAGAUGAAACCAGGAGAUUUCCUUACUGAAUCAUCAGAGCUGAACAGGUGAUGGAGAAACAGGUUGACCUUAUAGGCGACAUGAAUGACUUGAAGGGAAGUUAUGAACUGUUUCUGAGAGACAAAUAACACCAGGAUCCUUUUCUAAGUAGCUGACAGCUGGUAACUGUGCAGGGGCGGGUCUGUAAAGUUUUGCCAGGGAGCCAGGUAGGGCAUUAACAGGGAAAGGGGGGCACAAAGAAAUACUUUUCUUUCUUAUUCUCAUUUAAAAUGUCUAGCUUUGAAUAAAUAAUUAUCUGAAUCUUACAACCAAAGUUUUAUCUGAUGUAAAAUGUAUAGAAAUCAUACAUAUACCAACAAGACAGUGUACAUCACUGUCACAACAGCAUUUGUUUUCAUUCAAAGGCUUUAUGGCUUUUCCUGAACAGGCUGAUCCGCAGGGCCAGCUCUGUUCUAGGAUGCCCUCUGGACCCAGUGGAGGUGGUGAGUGACAGGAGAAUGACGGCUAAGCUGUCAUCCCUGUUGGACAACAUCUCCCACCCCAUGCAUGAGACUGUGACAGCACUGAGCAGCUCCUUCAGUGGGAGACUGCGGCACCCACGGUGUGGGACGGAGAGAUUUCGCAGGUCUUUCCUCCCCACUGCUGUCAGACUCCACAACAAAGACUUCAACUGAUCAAACACACACAUCCACAAAUGUGCAAUAACACUAAUGUGCAAUAAUCUUUUCUGGCAUCGUUGUAUUUUUACUCAGUUGUAUAUAGCAUUUGUAUUCUAUUUUUAUCUUAUUGUAUAUUUUAUUCUAUUUUAUUCUACUGUAUAUAGUAUUUUAUUCUAUUCUGUACAGUUGUGUACUGUAUUUAUUCUUAUUUUAUUUUAUUCUAAUUUUUGCUUCAUAACUUUUGCACUGUCUACUUCCUGCUGUGACAAAACAAAUUUCCCACGUGUGGGACUAAUAAAGGUUAUCUUAUCUUAUCUUAUCUUAUCUUAUAAUACCUGGUGGGCCGGUCUCUAGUGAAAAUGCCCGGGCCAAUUUUUUGUCCCAGUCCAGCCCUGACCACAGACCUGUGUAACAGAGACAAUUCCAUCCUGCUCCCGCUUACUGUAGCUCUCUGUGCUGCUCUUCUGUCCUCCCUGUGGAGCUUCUGGGAGAUGUAGUUCUUCAUGAUUUGACACCCAAACUGCUUGCAUCCAUGGUCAAGCAGUAUAUCAUCUCCUGUGAUUUAUCCUGUUUGUUUUGAAAUAAAGGGGUAUUUUUAAAUAAAAU